CCCAAACCCAUCUCUUCAGCUAAAAAACACAGCUUAACAAUUACAAUAGUGUAUGAGUUGCAGCUGUUUAACAGAGCUGGGAAAAAAAAAAAGUAGGUAAGGCAUUCAAUGUAGCUGCAGGAGGAUGGGAAAGUAAAUUUAGCAGUCUCUGUAGAAAGUAUACAAGUUUAUGAGAAAAAUAUUAAGGCACUGGAGAAUUUACACAGUACGUUGGAGUAUAACAGUAUUUUAUCAGAAGCUUCACAUCCAGUCUUUAACUUUUUUAGGAUGCAGAAAAUGCUCCUGAAUACAGGCUGGAAUUUGGAUCAGCACAUCCUGCACUAAACAUCUUAGAAAUGUUCUGUAUCUUCUUGUCGUUUGAGGAUAUUUCAGGUGUCCAGAGUGUCCAGAGCGGAUUCGAGUGAUUCUGACAGGGUGUGACACACGUUGUUUUCUCUGGUGGAACCAAGCCAAGCAAAGAGGCAUUCACAGACAGAUCCUGUGGGUACCUUCAGCCAUCGAGGAGUUUGGCAAUCCCAAGAGCCUUGAGCACAUCUCUUCUUGGAAAGGGUGGAAACCAGAGAUGGUACAAGACGAUAACUUAAUGCAGUGAUUGCUGGUUGUCCAUGGAGAAGCACAAACUUGAGCCAGGAUUUGGAAUAAAGCCAAGAAAACUGCUGAGAAGACAGAUCCUUGGUAUCACAUGCUGUAGGUCGUCAUGGGACCCAUCACAAAGCCCAGCUGUGCAGUGAGCUCUGCCUCUGCAGGCACCAGUGUCUCCCCAUGUAGGCAACGUGGUAUUAGGAACCAGGAAUCGGUACCCACAGCUCUUCAUGUGGAGAAAGGUUCUUACAGUUAAAAACUGUAGAUGUAAUGGAGACUCAAGAAAAAACUUUUAAAAAGAUGGGGAAGAGGAUGAAGGAAAUGUCCUAAAAGAAGAACCUGGGUUCCUGCUAUCACAAAGACUUAACAGAAGCAAAACAAAACCAAAAGAGAGAUAACAUAGUGAGGGUUGAAUAAAGUCCUACUCCAAAAGGGUUUUCUGUUGGGAUGUGAGGCUGCAGCUCUUGACGCUGCUCUGAUUGCUGAUGGCAUCAGUGCUUAACUUGGGAUGGUGGGCAUGCAGGGAGCAGACAACAGGAAGGGAAAGUUUGCCUUACUGUAGCUUGCAGAAGUGCCCCAGACCCCCCCAUUCUUGCACUGAAGUCCCAAUAAAGACCACUGCUUCCUGAAGAUAUGUUUCCAGAAGAAAAGGACUAACAGGGAGAAGGGCAAGCAGCUCUCAGUGCAGACUGGGGAGCAAGGGGUGCAUUGCAGAGUGUGGAUGAGCAACCCCAAAUGUGGUGACUUCCAAGGUUGGACUGCUCCCUGGAGAAAGGUCAACACUUGCAAGACUUGCAAGUCUUGCAAGCUGUGGUAGCAGGAGACCUAGUUAAAUGAUGAGAAAAGCUUGGUGAGACUGAUCAGAGGAAGGAACUUCAUGCCCUUUAUUCAGGGUUCAUCAUAGCAGUGAGUCCAUGCAAGUCAAUUAUGUUUUUGUGUGCUGGGAGCCUGCUCACUGCAAGAUGUAUUAAGUUACAAUUAACUUAAUGAAAUGUUGUAACAUACGACCCAGGACUGAGAAGGCACUUGGAGGCAGGAGCAGGAAGAUUCAGGCUGCAGCGGGCAUGGUGGCACUGGAUCUUGACGCUCACCUAAACUCAUUGAUAAAUUAGCUUGUUAUUUCUUCUUCCCCAGGCACAGCAGACAGUUCUUAUUGGGUAUGUCUCUUAGCUGAAUUAGGUUGGUGCGUUGCCAGCCCUGGUCACAGAACUUUAUCUAAGACAUCUCGUGCUGUCGGCUGCAAGGAAAAAUGCUCCAUAAGUGGGUGAUCUUUAUUAUCCAAUGUAUUUCAGUAGAGGAGUUAUCAUUUAAACACUGCACUCUAUAAAGAUAACUGAACAAGCAUAAAUAUAACAUUGGUAUAAACAUAAAAACAUGUAUUUUCUUGCCUAAUAUUAUAAAAUAUGAGAAUGAAUGUAAGCAGGAUUUAUUUUCUAUACCAGAACAAAAAUAGAUUGAACCAUCUGUUAUUUAUGGUCUUUCCAGCAUUGUAUAUUGUCUGACCAUUCAGCACAACUUGUCUCUAGAAGCUUUAGAAGCUCUAGAAGUUUAAAGUGGAGUUUAUAGGAGGUGGAAAAUCUCUUUGCACCUCAGUCUAGAGGAGUUCACAGCCAUUGUGUCCAUGUCCAAGGAGACUGCAGUCUCU
ensembl:lncRNA